ensembl:snRNA U6 U6 spliceosomal RNA
GUGCUCACUUUGGCAGCACAUAUACUAAAAUUGGAGUCAUACAGAGAAGAUUAGAAUGGCCCCUGCUCAAGGAUGACAUGCAAAUUCAUGAAGCGUUCCAUAUUUUU